AGCUCUUUGGAGUGUAAAACCCUGYCMGCWGGGAAGAAACGGUUGCGGAGGAAAUGACGCAGCCCUGACGGUACCUGCAGAGGAAGUUCCGGCUAACUCCGUGCCAGCAGCCGCGGUAAUACGGAGGGCGCAAGCGUUGUCCGGAAUUACUGGGCGUAAAGGGGGCGCAGGCGGCUUGGCAAGUCUUGUGUGAAAGCCCACGGCUCAACCGUGGAAUUGCGGGAGAUACUACUCGUCUUGAGUCCGGGAGAGGAGUGUGGAAUUCCCAGUGUAGCGGUGAAAUGCGUAGAUAUUGGGAGGAACACCGGUGGCGAAGGCGGCACUCUGGACCGGUACUGACGCUGAGGCGCGAAAGCUAGGGGAGCAAACGGGAUUAGAUACCCCGGUAGUCCUGGCUGUAAACGCUGAGCACUUGGUGUAGCGGGUAUCGACCCCUGCUGUGCCGAAGCUAACGCAUUAAGUGCUCCGCCUGGGGAGUACGGUCGCAAGGCUGAAGCUCAAAGGAAUUGACGGGGGCCCGCACAAGCGGUGGAGCAUGUGGUUUAAUUCGACGCAACGCGAAGAACCUUACCUGGGUUUGAACCGCCGAGGACCGCUGCAGAGAUGUAGCUUCCUUUCGGGGCUUCGGUAGAGGUGCUGCAUGGCUGUCGUCAGCUCGUGUCGUGAGAUGUUGGGUUAAGUCCCGCAACGAGCGCAACCCUUGCCCUCUGUUGCCACCAG
rnacentral:rRNA from 1 species